UACGUAGGUUGCGAGCGUUGUCCGGAUUUAUUGGGCGUAAAGAGAACGUAGGUGGUUUCUUAAGUUUGGUGUUAAAGACCGGGGCUCAACCCCGGGAAUGGAUCGAAUACUGGGAGACUAGAGGAUGUUAGAGGAAAGUGGAAUUCCAAGUGUAGCGGUGAAAUGCGUAGAUAUUUGGAGGAACACCAGUGGCGAAAGCGGCUUUCUGGGACAUUCCUGACACUGAGGUUCGAAAGCUCGGGGAGCAAACAGG
rnacentral:rRNA from 1 species